rnacentral:rRNA from 1 species
UGGCUCAGAUUGAACGCUGGCGGCAUGCCUUACACAUGCAAGUCGAACGGCAGCACGGGUGCUUGCACCUGGUGGCGAGUGGCGAACGGGUGAGUAAUACAUCGGAACAUGUCCUGUAGUGGGGGAUAGCCCGGCGAAAGCCGGAUUAAUACCGCAUACGAUCUACGGAUGAAAGCGGGGGACCUUCGGGCCUCGCGCUAUAGGGUUGGCCGAUGGCUGAUUAGCUAGUUGGUGGGGUAAAGGCCUACCAAGGCGACGAUCAGUAGCUGGUCUGAGAGGACGACCAGCCACACUGGGACUGAGACACGGCCCAGACUCCUACGGGAGGCAGCAGUGGGGAAUUUUGGACAAUGGGCGAAAGCCUGAUCCAGCAAUGCCGCGUGUGUGAAGAAGGCCUUCGGGUUGUAAAGCACUUUUGUCCGGAAAGAAAUCCCUGGCUCUAAUACAGUCGGGGGAUGACGGUACCGGAAG